rnacentral:lncRNA from 1 species
AAACUUUCUAGUAAAACAAUUUUGUUUUGAGAAUGUUUUCCAGAAAUCAGUUUUAUAAGAACAUAAAUAAGACCUAAAACAUUAAAAUAUGAUACCAAAUGAUCAAUAUGAGAGGAAGAGGAUUGUAGAUUUGCUCAAGUCGCAUAUUUUACUUAGUGUUUUAGACGUUCGGAAAGAAACUUGAAUUUUGACAACUUGAAACGCAAACAAAUCCAAGUAAAAAAAAGUUAAAGAAAACAAUUAAAAUAAACAACUAAGAUAAAUAAAAUAGAACAAUAAUUCAAAGAUUAGAACGAAAAAAAAAGGAAAAUAAAAAGAUGAAUGGAAAAGAUAGAACGUGGCGUGUAGAAGUCCUAAGAAGCCUUGGAAACAAGAAGAAUCCACAACUCCCUUCAAGCGACUCUAAUUUCCCCUUCAAGAAAGAAACUUG